GCAGCAUGUCGUCGGAAGAUAAACGUUUCCUCUUUGGUGGUGGUUUCAACCUAAAUGUUGCGAUUGGACAAGUGAUGAACAUCGUGAAAAAUGUUUGCGGCAGUGCCCCUCCACGUAUGAAAGAGAUAUACAAGCUUAAUAACUAUUCAUUAAGAAAAUGUUUAAAAAAUGUUUAACUGAUGAGGUCUUGUAUCCAAAUAUACAAAAUUUUCCCGAAUUGCAAAAACUUAGCCUGUGCACAUCCUGUACAGGGUAAUACAGGAUGUGCACAGGCUAGCAAAAACUUAGUACCUCGAUUUUCUCAGUUCAAAUCACAACUGUUGAAACCUUAAAAGUUACAUACAUCAAUUUUCAACCUCUCCCCCUUCGGCUUGAGUUUGUAUAUCUGAUACACUACACUGCCUCUAGAUACUGUAUAUAUAUAUAUAUAUUACAUAAAGUUCGUCAGGUAUCAAACCACCUGAUUUCCGUUGUGUUUGGAUGCUCAUGAAUUUUUAAUUUGUUUUUUAAGAAUUCGCCGACUUGUGCCAGUGCAUCACAGGGUAAUUCUGCGAUCAACUAGUUUGUAGAAG
rnacentral:lncRNA from 1 species